rnacentral:rRNA from 1 species
CAAGUCGAGGGGCAGCAUGACCGUAGCAAUACGGUUGAUGGCGACCGGCAAACGGGUGCGGAACACGUACACAACCUUCCUUUAAGCGGGGAAUAGCCCGGGGAAACCCGGAUUAAUACCCCAUAGUAUAUUGAAGAGGCAUCUCUUUACUAUUAAAGAUUUAUCACUUGAAGAUGGGUGUGCGGCUGAUUAGCUAGUUGGCGGGGUAAUGGCCCACCAAGGCAACGAUCAGUAACUGGUGUGAGAGCACGACCAGUCACACGGGCACUGAGACACGGGCCCGACUCCUACGGGAGGCAGCAGUAAGGAAUAUUGGUCAAUGGACGCAAGUCUGAACCAGCCAUGCCGCGUGGAGGAUGAAGGUCCUCUGGAUUGUAAACUUCUUUUAUCUGGGACGAAAAAAGGUUUUUCUAGACCGACUGACGGUACCAGAUGAAUAAGCACCCGCUAACUCCGUGCCAGCAGCCGCGGUAAUACGGAGGGUGCAAGCGUUAUCCGGAUUCACUGGGUUUAAAGGGUGCGUAGGUAGAUUAGUAAGUCAGUGGUGAAAUCUCCGGGCUUAACCCGGAAACUGCCAUUGAUACUAUUAGUCUUGAAUACCGUGGAGGUCAGCGGAAUAUGUCAUGUAGCGGUGAAAUGCUUAGAUAUGACAUAGAACACCAAUUGCGAAGGCAGCUGGCUACACGAAUAUUGACACUCAGGCACGAAAGCGUGGGGAUCAAACAGGAUUAGAUACCCUGGUAGUCCACGCCCUAAACUAUGGAUACUCGACAUACGCGAUACACUGUGUGUGUCUGAGC